UUGUUCACUCUUCAUCUCCACAAACCAGCUGAACGUUGAGCUUUAUCGUUAUUUUCAAUGGCAUUGUCACAAUUUCGUUGUUCUCUCAAAUUCGGUAACCCAUUUCCAAUGGCAACACUCUCUUCCUUCACCAUCUUCUCCAAAACCCUAACCCCACCUAACCCCAAAACCUCAUCUCUCAAUUUCAACAACCUCUCCAUCCGUACCAAAAUCCGUACCCGGAACCCUAUCCAAAUUCGCGCGGCUGCCAAGGAAGAUUUCUCUUCCAACAAAAGCGGAAGCGAUGAGCAGAAGGAAACGAUUAUGCUUCCCGGUUGUGACUACAACCAUUGGCACUUACCUUCAAACUCUUGCUACUGUCUUGGGAAGUUUAGCUUUUGGAAGAAAAAUGCAGAAUUUGUCCUCGCUCGCAAGGUGUUCGAUGAAAUGUCCCAACCGAAUUCCUUUUGUGGCGAAGUUAGCGGUGAGAGAGGAAUUUGAUUUAGUUGAUGUUAACGGCUCAAUAUACUUAAUCCCGACACUAGGAAUUUGAUUCAUUGGCCAAACGGCCAGGUUCUGAGUGGAGAACUAGACAAUGAGAAUGGAGGCAAAAUUGUGUAUAAUUGGAGGGAACAAACAUCUACUCCGGAAUGUCUUUCAACACAGCUUAGAACAUGUUUGAUUAAACAAUUUACAUACACAGAAUGUGGUCUUCAAUUUGCUGAAUAUAUUUUGAGGAAUUCAAAGGUACUGGACACAAUGUCAAUCAAGAGUGCUUCAUUCAUAAAUGAAAAUGUCAAGCACCAAAUGUUAAUGAUAUUAGCUUCGGAGGAAUUCAAAGGUUAUAAAAAUAUAGAUACAAUGUUGGUCAUUAGACAGUGAUGGAUAAGUUUAUAUCCCUAAAUCAACCAGCUUUUCUUAUGGGAAGGUUGUUGGUUGAGGGAGUGAUGGGUGUCACUGAGGUGGACGACAUGGCCAAGAGAACUAAGAAAGACAGAAGAAAGUGAAAUGUGUGUUUCAUGAAUGAUGAUGAGGAGUACGCAUUACCAAGGAGGAAUACUUAAAGUCAAAAGAGAAAGUAAAAGAAAAGCCCAAGGUAUCCAUAAGGUGAGCGUUUAAGUCCGUGGGUAGCUAUGGGUUGUUUCAUGAUGGGUGUUUCAAUAAUCUUCUUCUAAGAUCUGUCUUCUUCUACUCAACAAGAAAGGAAAAGGGUGCAGAUCCAUCAUUGACCGAGUUCUAUUUUCGCACACAUCGAAAAAAGGAUCAAAGUUGGAUUGGAGUUCAUGCUGAAUCUACAUAUGUAAGUAUUUAGGAAAAUAUCACUUUUAUUGAAUUUAAUUCCUUACUAUUUUCUCAAUUUUCUUUUAGGAUAAAUUUGAACAGAAAAAGUUGGAGAUUUCUUCUCAGAAUCCAACUAUUCUAGGAGAGGACGAAGCUGAUAGUCAACCAACUAAUGAAAUGCCACCUGAUUUGGAUAUAUGGGUAGAGUCGGUUGGAAAGAAGAAAGGGAAUAGGGUAUUUGGUCUUGGAACCGCAUCUAAGACUUUGGUUUAUGUAUCAAAGAAACCCUCAAGUCUUUCAAGUGACUCUCAAGAGGUUGAUGUCGUGAGAAGUCAAGUCCAUGCUUUAAAUGCAUCGUUGCAAAGACAAGAACAAGAGAAGAUGGUGAUGAGGCAACAAUUGCAUCGACAAGAAGAAAAGAUGGCCAAAGCAAAUAAUAAAAUUUCAUUUUUAAUGAAUCAUUUAGGAUUUAUUGGGUCUUCUUCUCAUCCACCACAACCCACUAAUGAAAGUGAUCACACUAAUUUGAUUGAAUUUCAAAUCUGCUAACUUGUCUUUUGGAAAAUAUCACUUUUAUUGAAUUUAAUUCCUUACUAUUUUCUCAAUUUUCUUUUAGGAUAAAUUUGAACAGAAAAAGUUGGAGAUUUCUUCUCAGAAUCCAACUAUUCUAGGAGAGGACGAAGCUGAUAGUCAACCAACUAAUGAAAUGCCACCUGAUUUGGAUAUAUGGGUAGAGUCGGUUGGAAAGAAGAAAGGGAAUAGGGUAUUUGGUCUUGGAACCGCAUCUAAGACUUUGGUUUCUGUAUCAAAUAAACCCUCAAGUCUUUCAAGUGACUCUCAAGAGGUUGAUGUCGUGAGAAGUCAAGUCCAUGCUUUAAAUGCAUCGUUGCAAAGACAAGAAUAAGAGAAGAUGGUGAUGAGGCAACAAUUGCAUCGACAAGAAGAAAAGAUGGCCAAAGCAAAUAAUAAAAUUUCAUUUUUAAUGAAUCAUUUAGGAUUUAUUGGGUCUUCUUCUCAUCCACCACAACCCACUAAUGAAAGUGAUCACACAAAUGAAGAUGGCGUCGAUGAAACAGAUGAAAAAGACCUUAGUAAUGAAUUUUGAUUUGUACUUUUUUUCAUUUUGACUUAGUUUUUGGAUUGUAUUAUCUUUUUAACUUGGUUGACAAAUGAUUAGUAAUAACUUGAUUUUUUGAAUCAUUUUUAGUAA